rnacentral:rRNA from 1 species
UACGAAGGGGGCUAGCGUUGUUCGGAAUCACUGGGCGUAAAGCGCACGUAGGCGGAUUGUUAAGUCGGGGGUGAAAUCCUGAGGCUCAACCUCAGAACUGCCCUCGAUACUGGCGAUCUUGAGUCCGGAAGAGGUUGGUGGAACAGCUAGUGUAGAGGUGAAAUUCGUAGAUAUUAGCUAGAACACCAGUGGCGAAGGCGGCCAACUGGUCCGGAACUGACGCUGAGGUGCGAAAGCGUGGGGAGCAAACAGG